CCAAGAGUUCACAUCGACGGGGAGGUUUGGCACCUCGAUGUCGGCUCAUCGCAUCCUGGGGCUGUAGUCGGUCCCAAGGGUUGGGCUGUUCGCCCAUUAAAGCGGUACGCGAGCUGGGUUCAGAACGUCGUGAGACAGUUCGGUCCCUAUCCGUCGUGGGCGUAGGAAAUUUGAGAGGAGCUGUCCUUAGUACGAGAGGACCGGGAUGGACAUACCUCUGGUGUACCAGUUGUCGUGCCAACGGCAUAGCUGGGUAGCUAUGUAUGGACGGGAUAAGUGCUGAAAGCAUCUAAGCAUGAAGCCCCCCUCAAGAUGAGAUUUCCCAACUUCGGUUAUAAGAUCCCUCGAAGAUGACGAGGUUAAUAGGUUCGAGGUGGAAGCGUGGUGACACGUGGAGCUGACGAAUACUAAUCGAUCGAAGACUUAAUCAAUUUUUAAA
rnacentral:rRNA from 1 species